AUGUUUAAAUUAGCGCCAUGUACCUCUUUGGGCAAUAUAAUAGAGGUUAACGAGGUAGAGAGUCAGCGAAGUGUUCGGCGGAUGCUCUCUCAUAGGCUUGGCUGUGUGAAUUGCUGAAAAAUCUCCGGGUAACCGGAACACAACAGCAGCAAUACCAAGAUAA
rnacentral:ncRNA from 2 species